rnacentral:ncRNA from 1 species
UAAACCUUGAUGAUUAAGGAAUGCAUAAAACCUGUGCACUCUUUAGGAAAACUACAGCCAUGGGAAUGGGCUUGGUGGGAUCUAUAGGGGAAGAUAAGAUAGUGGAGCUUGGCUCUAGUCUGGCACUAUGAAGAAAUAUGAGAGAUGUAGAAUGAGAGGAAGCCUGGCAAAAUAGCACUGUUCAUAUAUUUUUCACAUAGCUGGUGAGGAGGAGGGGUGAGCUCCUGGUGCUUGUGUUGCCAAAUACUGGACAUGUGAUGGGCACAAAUCACAAGGACAGGAUCACAGGAAGGCUGAUGGGGGCAUUACAUGUCAAACUGUAAUGCAGGUGGUGUUGUGGCUUAACUCCAUCCAGCAACUAAGCACCACCCAACCACUUGCUCUCUGCCCCCCAGUGGGGGGAAGAAUUUGAAGGCUAAAAGUGAGAAAGAAACUUGUGGAUUGAGAUAAAGGCAGUUUAAUAAUAAUAAAAAAAUUAAAACACAAUUGUAAGAAGGAAUAAAAAGCAAAACCAAAGAGAAAGUAAAAAAAAUUAGAAAAACAAGCGAUGCAAAAGAAAAUAAUUGUUCACCACCAACCAGACAGUCCCCAAGCAAGGGCAGCCCCCAACAACCUCCAUCCUCCAGUUUUAUUGCUGAGCAUGACAUCAUAUGGUAUGGAAUAUCCCUUUGGCCAGUAUGGGUCAGCUGUCCCAGCUGUAACCCCUCCCAACUGCUAUGCCCCCAGGUUCAUGUUCGAUCAUAAGGCCUGUUGUUCCUUUAUCAGCCUGAACCAAAGUACAGCUAACUUGAUUAGGAGUUGAACUUAUCCAUCACAGUCACCAAAUUGUUAGCAAAAAGGACUUGUUCUCAUUUUUCUUUUUCUAGUUCAUGCACGGGUACUGGAAAGAAGGCAGCAGAAGUACACGCUAGCUAACCCCCCUUUUAUUGCCAGCAAUUAAGGUCCCUCUUGGCUGGGAGCCUGAGAAGGACCCUGUGUUACACUCUUGAUUCUGUAUAUACAAUUUUAAGACUACUCACAUAUUCACUUUUACAAUUUACAUAACCUAUUGGCUUUGGCCAUGACAUCACUUGUUACCAUCCUCUUUUGAGUGAUCUCCCUGUGCAAGCAUGCCUAAUGCAUAUUUAUUAGCUGAGUUUGCACUAUUUUUGUUGCAGCUUAGCUGCUUUCAGCUGGUUUGGUCCGGUUUCUUCUAACAGCAGACCCUCUUGAACAGGUGAGGUCAUUGUUGGUCAAGUUCUAUUGCGCAUGUCUUUGAAGUCAUCUUGACAUUGGAGCUUUUUCUUAUGUAACAACAGCAUGCUAAGGUGAGUUCAGAAAACUGUGGAGCAGAAGAGUAAAAUCUUGUUUGAUCUUGAUUUUCUGUGCAAAUACAGACAGCGAAAAGAGAGGCCUCAUGAUCCUUCUGACUUUUCGGGUUUUAAGCAGAAAGUCUCAAAAUAGUUACCACAGGGAUAACUGAUCUGAAGUGGCUACGUGUUUUAGGCAUGAUUGUUUUUUUAUUCAGAGAUGUUGGCUCUUCCUGUUGUACUGAAGGAGACUUUACCAGGUGCUGGGUAAUUCAUCCACUACCAGGGAACAUGAACUGCAUUUAGACUAUGGUUAGACAAGUUACUUUUACCCUUCCAAUGAGGUAUUGUUGCAAUGGUGAUUGUGUUCAGCAAAAGUAAUCCCAGGUUCAGAGCCUUGGUGUAUGUGCUUGAUCAAAGAGACAGUGGGGCAAAGACCCUAAAUCAGAAUCACCCCUAAACCCAACCUCAUCACUUCAGCUGCUGCAUACCCCAUGUCUGAUGCAGUGCAGCAUCAGAAGGAUCCCGGAUGGAUUUUCCCACAGCGCUGUGCAGAUCCCAUUCAUGCAGGGAAGCUUCUCCUUUUUGGUCAUUCAAGCUAUUCUAUAAUUUACUUACAAGAAAACAACUCUAUUCCUAAAAGAUGUUCACAUGAGUACUUCCUGCUGCACUGUUACAUAAAGGCAAGGCCAUGCAGGUGGCAUAAUAACCGCAUUGUGUGGGAGCUGCCCACAGACUCCUUUGUUACAAUGAGCUGCUGAGGUUGUCCUGCAGCAAAGGGAU